rnacentral:rRNA from 1 species
AGUGAACGCUGGCGGUAGGCCUAACACAUGCAAGUCGAACGGCGGCACAGGAGAGCUUGCUCUCUGGGUGGCGAGUGGCGGACGGGUGAGGAAUACAUCGGAAUCUACUCUGUCGUGGGGGAUAACGUAGGGAAACUUACGCUAAUACCGCAUACGACCUACGGGUGAAAGCAGGGGACCUUCGGGCCUUGCGCGAUGGAAUGAGCCGAUGUCGGAUCAGCUAGUUGGCGGGGUAAAGGCCCACCAAGGCGACGGUCCGUAGCUGGUCUGAGAGGAUGAUCAGCCACACUGGAACUGAGACACGGUCCAGACUCCUACGGGAGGCAGCGGUGGGGAAUAUUGGACAAUGGGCGCAAGCCUGAUCCAGCCAUACCGCGUGGGUGAAGAAGGCCUUCGGGUUGUAAAGCCCUUUUGUUGGGAAAGAAAUCCAGCUGGCUAAUACCCGGUUGGGAUGACGGUACCCAAAGAAUAAGCACCGGCUAACUUCGUGCCAGCCGCCGCCGUAA